rnacentral:tRNA from 8 species
GCGGAUGUAGCUCAGUGGUAGAGCAUCACCUUGCCAAGGUGAGGGUCGCGGGUUCAAGUCCCGUCAUCCGCU